AGGAAAAUAAGGAACUAAGCCUUUCAUGUGUUUUUGGCAGGGAUGUGGUAGGCUUAGGAUUUGGAGUGAGACUAUGUUUCUCUUUAACAUGAUAGAAUUGGGGAAAAAGACACGUUAUGUUCAGCACACUCAUCCUUCAGAUGGUGAAACAGUUCCUUGAGAAAUGAGAUGACAAAUGCAUUUUUGGUUUUACAAAAUCGACUCCUGUUUUUCUUCAGUUGGUAUUUAAUUGGCAAUAAGAAUAUUUUCCACAGAGUGAACGAGACACCUGGGGCUCUCAUUGGUAAUGCAUCGGGGCUGUGGGAUCAAUGGCAGAAGAUCAUUUCAACUUCCUUUGAAAGGUAGAAGGGAAGCAGGAUUUGCCAAGCUGGAAGUAGUGUGACAACCACGUAAUGUGGAGCUUUUUCAUGCAGGGCCACAUUAAGCUUCCGGGUGACAUCCAUGUGAGAGUUUGUGUACUAGGGCCACAGCUCCCACCAACUCCUAAAUGGUCACUGAUGUAAAGUAAAAUCAAAGUGAAAGAGUCAGAAACAGAAGUGUAUUUUGGAGAAAACAAAUACCACCACGGAACUGAACAGUAACGGGAGGGAAGCGUUUGCUUACACAAGCACUUUUCUGAGGACCAGGCCCCUGCGGGGGGGGAGGCAGAGCCUCCCUGCCCCAGGAUGCAGCCCCUCACACAGCGAUCUCCAAGUUUUACCUUUCAGUCUCCCCAACCUCAUCGUUUGAUGAUGGAGGCUGACCAGUCCCAACAUGAACAGUCACCAACCUGCAGACCUAGGAGAACUGAUUGCUAAGUUCAGGUCCCCAAACCCAGAAGCUUAAGACUCAGGAAAAGCCAUUCAAAGAGACACCACCACAGACACACCCAGAAAAACGUGUGACUGAAUGUCGGGACAUCCUAGUGGAGAUGAAGAAAUAGAGGCAGAGAGUUUAAAGGCAGAUGCUGAGUUCAAAUCCAGCCUGUCCUGGCACCGUGUCACCCUGGAACUUCUUAUCCUCUCUUGUGGUUUGAUUCCAUCCCAGUAAUGCUUCGCCAACACAAAUGCUUCUGUAACUUCAUUUUCAGAAACACUUUUGGUGCCUACAGGCACUUUUAUAAACCUGACUU